AUAAUAUCUCAGAUUUGCACUAAUUGAAUGUGGGGUUAUGCCUUUGUAGCCAUGGGUAUCCCAAAACAACCGGGUAACAUGGAGAGGAAAUCACCUGGAGUUGGAUCAUCUCAUGCUGUAAAGCCCCUACAGGCAAAGAUAAGGGCACGGUCUCGUGGGUUAUAUGGGUAGCCUGUGGUGGUCUGCCAUCGAUGGCUUUGAAAGCUAGCGGAGAGGUGUGAGACUAUAAGGGUAUAGG